rnacentral:rRNA from 1 species
UACGUAGGGGGCAAGCGUUAUCCGGAUUUACUGGGUGUAAAGGGAGCGUAGACGGCCAGACAAGUCUGAAGUGAAAAUCCAGCGCUUAACGUUGGAAGUGCUUUGGAAACUGCCGGGCUAGAGUGCAGGAGGGGCAGGCGGAAUUCCUAGUGUAGCGGUGAAAUGCGUAGAUAUUAGGAGGAACACCAGUGGCGAAGGCGGCCUGCUGGACUGCAACUGACGUUGAGGCUCGAAGGCGUGGGGAGCAGACAGG